GGGGCACUAUACAUGAAGACGUAACAGCUGUUAGCGCACUGAAUUAUACAUCAAAAAAUGCUGUUGAAUAUGAGUUUACACAAGACAUCAAACAUGCUGAUCCUCUUAUAUUUACGGAUGGCGGUUCCUGCGAUCUGCUUAAUAUUCCUAGGUUAAACGAGGGAAACGGUUGUGAGCUUUGGGUGAAGGACGAUUACAAAGACAAUGUUCCUCCAUGCUGCUCAUUCAUCUUUGACCUUCUAUGUGCAAUGGAGGGAAGCUACGAUGUCUAUUCCAAGGGAGCUUGCGGAAGCGUUGUUAACGAUUGGAAAGAAGGCAAACGCAGAUAAA